rnacentral:piRNA from 2 species
UAAAAGGCAUACCCAUAGUGACCUCACUCC